UCAUAUGGGAUAACGGCCCUGGGUAGAUACGAGUUUCAAGAAUGACUGGUUGAAGACGAUUGGGGUUGGAGAGGGAGGGUUUGAUCUUAUCUAUGAUUACUCCGUAUACGUUCUUCUGCGCAUUGAAUCUGCUUCUUUACCCACAAUAGGCCGCCUGAAUGAUCCAAUUACUAGCACCAUCACCCGCAAAGGACUCAACCACAGGUGGUCCUCCAUUUGCAUCUCCUCCCGCAGCUUACAUGGAACAUCUCAGCCAUUCAGGGGAGGGAUCCGCUGAAAGAAAUGAGCCCUAAUGGACUAGAACGCGUCGCCCAUUGGCAACCAGAGAGGACACAUGAAGUUGGUAAAGAUGAUAACAGGAAUGUCCAGGACUGGGUAGCAAUUUGGCAUCACCGCAGUUGAUUCUGAAAAGGGACGGGUGGAGGUUGAGAAAAUAUCAUCAUUCAUUUAAUGACGAUAUUCGAAACAAUUCCCUUGUAUAUAAUUUCAAAUUAGACAUAUUGCUUCUCAAAACGUCCCAUGGUCCGAAGCCUACAGCGCACUUGGCUCGCUGGAUCUGUUUCAUCAGGCAAGAAAAAUAUCCCAACACCUUAGGUAUACGUCCCUUCCCAAGGAGAAGCAGGGG
rnacentral:sRNA from 1 species